rnacentral:rRNA from 1 species
AGCGAAAGAUGGCGGAAGGAAGAACACAGGCAAGUCGAACGAACUCUUCGGAGUUAGUGGCGGACGGGUGAGUAACACGUGGGAACGUGCCUUUUGGUUCGGAAUAACUCAGGGAAACUUGUGCUAAUACCGAAUGUGCCCUUCGGGGGAAAGAUUUAUCGCCAUUAGAGCGGCCCGCGUCUGAUUAGCUAGUUGGUGAGGUAACGGCUCACCAAGGCGACGAUCAGUAGCUGGUCUGAGAGGAUGACCAGCCACACUGGGACUGAGACACGGCCCAGACUCCUACGGGAGGCAGCAGUGGGGAAUCUUGCGCAAUGGGCGAAAGCCUGACGCAGCCAUGCCGCGUGAAUGAUGCAGGUCUUAGGAUUGUAAAAUUCUUUCACCGGGGACGAUAAUGACGGUACCCGGAGAAGAAGCCCCGGCUAACUUCGUG